UACGUAGGGGGCAAGCGUUAUCCGGAUUUACUGGGUGUAAAGGGAGCGUAGACGGCAUGGCAAGUCAGAUGUGAAAGCCCGGGGCUCAACCCCGGGACUGCAUUUGAAACUGUCAGGCUGGAGUGCAGGAGAGGUAAGUGGAAUUCCUAGUGUAGCGGUGAAAUGCGUAGGUAUUAGGAGGAACACCAGUGGCGAAGGCGGCUUACUGGACUGUAACUGACGUUGAGGCUCGAAAGCGUGGGGAGCAAACAGG
rnacentral:rRNA from 1 species